rnacentral:rRNA from 9 species
CGAUGAUACGCGAGGAACCUUACCAGGGCUUAAAUGUAGAACGACCGAUUUGGAAACAGAUCUUCUCUUUGAGCGGUCUACAAGGUGCUGCAUGGUUGUCGUCAGCUCGUGCUGUGAAGUGUCGGGUUAAGUCCCUUAACGAGCGCAACCCCUAUCUCUAGUUGCCAGCGGAUAAUGCCGGGGACUCUAGAGAAACUGCCCGCGCAAGCGGUGAGGAAGGCGGGGAUGACGUCAAAUCAUCACGGCCCUUACGUCCUGGGCUACACACGUGC